GGUCGUCCAAGGGUGUUCUGGUAAUUUGUGGUUGCUUCUGGGCUUCAGCGGUCAUAAAAAAUGCUCAGCUCAUAUUCUGGGAUCACCGUCAACCGACACCAAUGCUGUUUCAUCGAUCGACGGUCCUUCAUCUCCUCGACAACUGUGGGAACCGGAAUUCGCACCGUCGAGAUUUAUUAAUCGGAGGAAAGCCAAGCUAACCUAACUUUCCUUGAAGGUCCCGGUUAUCUGCUGCGCCACGCACAACACAAUCAAUAUGAAAGAGUCGAAAGUAAUAAAUCGUAAAAGAGCGAAAAGAGAACAAAGAGGUCUUAUUUCCGAAUUCGCGUUUGAACGUGAACAACAAGUAAGAUCCUAGUCCACGAGAGCUGUCGGUACGUUCGCUAGUCUAGCCACCUAAGUUCUAACCUAGUCGAGUCGCAGCUCGAUAGUAAAAACGGAAAAAUGCCUAAAUUGCUCUAAGUAUUAAGUUUGCUCUGAGAAAGCUCCUCCUUGCUCCUCGCCUUAAGCCCUCCUUAUAUACUCUCUCUAGGUCGGUUUGCGCCUUUUCCUGGGCAGGAUUCUUCGCGAGAUGGAUUUUUCCAUUUUUUGUCACCCAUCAUGAUUAUCUUCGGAAACUUGACGUUUAUCUUUUCCUGCGAAAUAAAAAAUUGACCGUCAUAUCAGCCUUGGGCUCAAUCAUGUUCUAAAAUCGUAAGUGGGCCGUUUAGUCGCGGUUCAGGCCCCUGAACCUGUAAAUACUCUAAAUAGACUCUAUAUAGUAGUAAUUAGUUAUUAAAACACUUAUUAACCAUGACUAAAAGCGGGUAAAAUCUAUGGUCUAUCAGAGAGAGAGAGAGAUAGAGAGAGAGAGAGAGAGAGAGAGAGAGAGAGAGAGAUUAAUUAGUAUCUUGUUGGUGUUAAGUUACAUACAUGAUUUGGUGUCUAUGAGUAUGAAUAGGAUUUAUGAAGACUAAAAAAGAAAUGUGAAAUUAUAAAUAUUCAGAAAAUGAACAUAAGAUAAUUGAGUGCAAGAAAAACAAUAUGGAUAACUAAAAUGUAUUAAUUGAUAAUAGUUUGUUUACAAGGAUAAAUUAACAUUAGAGAAUCUCCAAGAAGAAACCUCAUUUUAAGGGUGGAGAAUCUUCAAGAAGGAACCUCAUUUUAAAGGUGGAGAAUCCUCAAAAUGAGGGUUUGAGGGUAGAGUACUCCAAGAAGAAACUUCAAAUUUAGCUUUGAAACUUUAUGUAAUUUGCAUCUUAGUCCUAAACUUUAAUAUAAAUUAUUUAUAACCACUAAAAUUUAUAUAAAUAAAUUAUACAUACACAUUAAAAAUAUGAAACACAAUAUUUAUAAAUACAAUUUAUUAUAACACAGAAAUACAUAACAUAAUAAUAUAAAACUCACAUUAAUUCAUAAAAAGAAAAAUACAAAUUACUCACUAUUGUUAUUUCCAUAGUGUUCCCAUAUAUGAUCAAUUAACCCAUUUCGAAGUAAAAAAUGAGUCUCUUAAUUUUUUAUCUGAAGAUUACGAGUUAAAAAAUCUUGAAAUCGAGUACUUUCAUUUAUUGCCAUUUCAACGGUUGCUUGUGGUGCCGGUCUUGCAUCUCUUACCGGUGCGUUGAUAUCAUGUUCAUCUUCAAUUAUCAUGUUAUGCAUUAUAAAGCAGGUUGUCACUAUAUCAUGCAAUACCUCUUUCUUCCAGUAACGUGAUGAUCCCGCUACGAUUGCAAAUUUUGCUUGUAGAACUCCGAAAGCUCGUUUACCAUCUUUCCGACAUGCUUCUUGUCUUGCUGCAAAUAACUUUUUAUUUGGACCUUGGGGAUCGCUUAUGGUUUGGACAGUGGUUGACCAUUUUGGAUAAAUACCAUCAGCUAAAUAAUAACCCAUGUUGUAUUCUUUACCUUGAAUAGUGUAAUUAGAUGGAGGAGCGGUACCUUGAGCAAACUUUGAAAAUAAAUUAGAAGACUUCAAAACAUUAAUGUCGUUGUUGCUUCCCGGCAUACCAAAGUAGGCAUGUCAUAUCCAUAGAUCAUAAUCCGCAACGGCUUCAAGAAUAAUUGUGGGUGAUCCACUUCGACCUGCAAAUUGGCCCGCCCAUGCAGUUGGAAAAUUUUUCCACUUCCAAUGCAUACAAUCAAGACUACCUAGCAUUCCUGGAAAUCCCCGUUGUUGGCCGAUGUUGAGAAGUCUGGCAACGUAUUAUGUUGUUGGUGACCUUAAAUACCACUCUAAAAAUACUUCUACAAUUGCGCGACAAAAUUUCUUCAUGCAUUCGAUUGCUGUAGACUCUCCUAUUUUGAUGUAUUCAUCAGUGGCAUCAGCGGGCAUACCAUAUGCCAAAAUACGAAUAGCAGCAGUGACCUUUUGCAGAGUCGAUAAUCCAAGUCUUCCAGAACUAGCACGUCUUUGAUUGAAGUAGCUGUCAUGUUGUUUAACAGCAUUGACAAUAUGAAGAAAUAACCUCCGGGACAUUCGAAAUCGACGAUGGAACUCUCGUUCACCAUAUACAGGAUUGUUAGAGAAAUAAUCAUUGUAUAAAUUACGAUGAGCAUUUUCUCUAUCCCGAUAAAUAACUGCAUGGCCAGCAAUGGAACCUCGAUGACUUACAUGAUUUUUUUUUUGACUGAGUUGGUGAAUAAGACAAUUAUUGUUGAGAAAUAAAUUGACAGCAAUUUGUUCUUCUCCCUCAGUUGUUGCAAGGUCAUCUGUUAUCCAUUGAUCAAACUCAGAUGAAUCCGAAGAAGAAAAAAGAGGAAGAGUUUUGAAAAGAAGAAGAAUUUCCAAGAUUAAAAUUCAUCUUUGAUCCGAUGAAGAAUGAUAUUUUCUUUUGUGCAUAUAUUGUUUAUAUAGACUCAAAUAAUACUAUUUAAAAAGAUAAGAAAAUCUUCAUAAUUUAAUCUAUGUCGUUCAAUAGAUUUUCUUUGACAUCAACCAUUAGAUUAAAUUUGUCAUUUUCCUAUCCACAUGUCUAGCAUAUUCAGUAGAUAAGAUAAGAAAAUCUUCAUAAGUUAAUAUAUGUCAUACAAUAUAUUUUCUUUAGCAUCAAUCGUUAGAUUAAAUUUUGUCAUUUUCCUCUUCACAUGUCUAACAUAUCCAAUAGACAAGAUAAGAAAAUCCUCAUAAUUUAUUCAUACUUUUUCAUUGAUUCUCUUUCACAUCAAUGUUUGAUUAAAAUUUUGUCAUUUUCUUAUCCAUAUAUCUUGCAUAUCUAAAGAUAAGAUAAGAAAAUCUCAGAAUUUAAUCCAUACCAUUCAGUAGAUUUUCUUUCAUAUCAACCGUUGGAUUGAAAUUUUUUGUUAUUAUCUUAUCUAUAUAUGUAAAAUAUACAUAGAUAAUAUACAAAAAAUUGAAAUCUCAUUGUGGCCAUUCAUUUGGAUUCUUAUCUACUUAGAAUUGUGUAUAAAUAAUAGAUUCAAGCCAAUGAAAAAAAUUCACACUUUAACCAAUAUCUUUCUCUCUUUUAAAAUAUGGAAAAAUAGAGGUUCAUCAUUCAACCAACAAGAAGAUGAGCUGUUAUGUCGUGUGUAUUUAGAAAUAUCACAAGAUCCAAUUGUUAGCAAUAACCAAGCUCUCAAACAAUUGUGCAAAAAAAAAAUCGAGCAAAGAUACAAUGAAACAAAAUAUGAGAGUUGGGAAACUAGAAGUAGUAGAUCUCUUCAAGGUAGGAUGUGUACAAUUUUGUAUGCUGUUAGAAAUUUGAAGAGUUGUGUUAUCCAAGUGGAGAAUAUGCAUCUAAGUGGUGCGUCUGAACAUGACAUUAUGGAAAAGGCAAAAAAGUUAUUGGUGCAAGAUCCAAAACUAAAAAAGGUUUCAAAUUUGAUCAUGUGUGGAUUUUGAUGAAAGAUAUUCCAAAGUUUUCCGACAAUGUCAAUGUCGGUAUUCCAAAUAAUGAAGGUGAAACUAUCGGUUCUCCAACAUCACAGUCUCCAGGACUUUCUUCAUUUUCUAUCAAUUUAAGUAGUGAUGAUGGUGGAUCAAAUUCAUCACAACGUCCCAUUGGAUCGAAGAAAGCAAAACUCAAAAGAAAACUUGAUGAAGGUAAUAACUCAUUAAUGUCUACUGUGGUUUCAUCAAAUGAGCAAAUCCUUAGUUUCUUAAAGGAAAGUGCAACAAGUAGAGAAAAAAAUUACGAGAUUACUCAGCUUCGUAUACAAAAUCAAGCAAAAAAAAUUAGCUCUUAAAGAGAUGGACCAAGAAAAUAAAAUAUUACUAACGAAUUUAAGCUCCAUCGAUGAUAGUGAUACAUGAGAGUUUAUACGAUCUGAACAAGCAAGAAUCAUACAGAAAAGGAAAGAGCAACAACAACCUCCUACUACACCAAAUUUUUAUGGACAAUUUUUUGGCGAUCUUGGAAACUCAGGACCAAGUCUACCUAAUUAUUAAUAUCAAUAUAUGGAUUCUAUAUGUGUAAUAUUUAUGUGGGUAAUCUCUCUUGUAAAAUAUUUGUGCUUGAAUUUUUAAUCUUUAAUUUGUAAUAUAUUGAGGAAUGUAAUAUAAUUUAUGUGAGAAAUAAUUAUUCUAUGUUAAAUAAUAUUAAUUUUAUUAGUUUUUA